CUUGUACCACACGAGAGUCGAAGAAGAAUUGUAACCGUAGCAUCGCGCUGCUUUGUACGGUUGAUGUUGAAGAGGAGAUAACGGAAGUAGCAAAAGGAUCCGGAAGGAAGUUAUAUCGUAAGGCAGGAGGAAAACUAUUUGAUUUUUGAGCUGCUCCGAAAAGCUGCUGCAAAAUAAAUAACGUACCCGAACAAGCCCAGUUGUGAAUUUUCCACUCUUGCGUGUUACGUUAAACAGUGUUGCGAUUUGUAUGGAAGACGGUACACUAUUUCACAAAAAAAAUUAUUAUUAUUUAUUUUUUAAUUGUGGUGAUUAUGUGAAGUA